rnacentral:rRNA from 1 species
AAAUGAAUUGACGGGGACCCGCACAAGCGGUGGAGCAUGUGGUUUAAUUCGAAGCAACGCGAAGAACCUUACCAGGGUUUGACAUAUGAGUGAUACGUCUAGAGAUAGAUGGUUCUUUCGGGACACUCAAUACAGGUGGUGCAUGGUUGUCGUCAGCUCGUGUCGUGAGAUGUUGGGUUAAGUCCCGCAACGAGCGCAACCCUUAUCGCUAGUUGCCAGCAUUAAGUUGGGUACUUUAGCGAGACUGCCAGUGAUAAACUGGAGGAAGGCGGGGAUGAGGUCAAAUCAUCAUGCCCCUUAUACCCUGGGCUACACACGUGCUACAAUGGCGCAUACAAAGAGAAGCGAAACGGUGACGUCAAGCAAACCUCAUAAAGUGCGUCUCAGUUCGGAUUGUAGUCUGCAACUCGACUACAUGAAGAUGGAAUCGCUAGUAAUCGCGGAUCAGAAUGCCGCGGUGAAUACGUUCCCGGGUCUUGUACACACCGCCCGU